GGUGUUAGACCAAAUUGGCGAUGCGGACUCUCUGGUCUGUAACUGACGCUGAGGAGCGAAAGCGUGGGGAGCGAACAGGAUUAGAUACCCUGGUAGUCCACGCCGUAAACGAUGAGUGCUAAGUGUUAGGGGGUUUCCGCCCCUUAGUGCUGCAGCUAACGCAUUAAGCACUCCGCCUGGGGAGUACGGUCGCAAGACUGAAACUCAAAGGAAUUGACGGGGGCCCGCACAAGCGGUGGAGCAUGUGGUUUAAUUCGAAGCAACGCGAAGAACCUUACCAGGUCUUGACAUCCUCUGACAACCCUAGAGAUAGGGCUUUCCCUUCGGGGACAGAGUGACAGGUGGUGCAUGGUUGUCGUCAGCUCGUGUCGUGAGAUGUUGGGUUAAGUCCCGCAACGAGCGCAACCCUUGAUCUUAGUUGCCAGCAUUCAGUUGGGCACUCUAAGGUGACUGCCGGUGACAAACCGGAGGAAGGUGGGGAUGACGUCAAAUCAUCAUGCCCCUUAUGACCUGGGCUACACACGUGCUACAAUGGACAGAACAAAGGGCUGCAAGACCGCAAGGUUUAGCCAAUCCCAUAAAUCUGUUCUCAGUUCGGAUCGCAGUCUGCAACUCGAACUGCGUGAAGCUGGAAAUCGCUAGUAAUCGCGGAACAGCAUGCCGCGGUGAAAUACGUUUCCCGGGGCCUUGUACACACCCGCCCGUCACACCACGAAGAGUUUUGCAACACCCGAAAGUCCGUGAGGUAACCUUUUAUGGGAGCCAGCCGCCGAAGGUGGGGCAAAUGAAUUG
rnacentral:rRNA from 1 species